AACACAAAAAUGAUCAUCUUCUCCAUAAGUUGCUGCUGAAUUUUGCUCUCCACCAUAGCUAGGGUUUCAACACUUUAAAGCCUUGAUUAUUAAGAGAAAAGAGAUUCGAGUCGAGAUCGGGGGAAAAAUAAAGUUUACGAGGAAUAGGAUCGACUAUUCUCAUUUUGUAUCGAGUUUUGACAAGUCAAUUUGGAGAUCGGGACGGUCGGAGGCACGCUCACACUAUCACUGGACAAUCGCGGUAUAAUGACUUGAAAUUUUUGGAAAUAUGGCAUGCAUAGCAUUCCAAUCAUUUUGUGUGUAUAAUCUUACGAUAUGGCCAUGGAUGGAAUGGAAAUGUUUGAGAAUGAUUAGCUAUUGAAAUGGCUAAUCAAGUUUAUA